rnacentral:snRNA from 1 species
UCGCCUCACGUACGCGAAU